rnacentral:rRNA from 1 species
UUGAAAGGGAAACGAUUGAAGUCAGUCGUACNGCGGAGGAUCAACCUUUGAAAGCGGGNGAGGUAUUNGAGGAGUUUAAAAGCCUCUUGCGUCACGCCUUCGUCCUCUUUGGUGACUUCUUCUAUGGUAGGUUAACAUCAAUUUUGGNGUUAAAAAUGAUUGGGGGAAUGUAGCUUCGAUUUUUUCGAAGUGUUACAGNCUUGGUAGAUGUGAAGACNGGGAUUGAGGAUUGAAACGAAUGAUUUCGGGUUAUCCNNCUGACCUCCCUGGUGGUUGCUUUAGGGUCGAAAGCGUGCUUACGACUUUAAAGUUGGUNUAUCAAACNUCCCCNCNCNNNCNNNCCGUUAAGGAUGUUGACGUA